GUGUCUUUAGCUCAGUUGGAUAGAGCAACGCCCUUCUAAGGCGUGGGCCGGGGGUUCAAAUCCCUUAAGACACACCA
rnacentral:tRNA from 4 species